GACGAACGCUGGCGGCGUGCUUAACACAUGCAAGUCGAACGGGUCUGCCCUGUUUUUUGCGGGGUGGGUCAGUGGCGAACGGGUGAGUAACACGUGAGUAACCUGCCCCUCACUUCUGGAUAACCGCUUGAAAGGGUGGCUAAUACGGGGUGUUCUGGCUGUGCCGCAUGGUGUGGCUGGGAAAGAUUCACUUUUGUGGUGUUUUGGUGGGGGAUGGGCUCGCGGCCUAUCAGCUUGUUGGUGGGGGGAUGGCCUGCCAAGGCUUUGACGGGUAGCCGGCCUGGGAGGGUGGGCGGUCACACUGGGACUGAGAUACGGCCCAGACUCCUGCGGGAGGCAGCAGUGGGGGGUAUUGCACAAUGGGCGGAAGCCUGAUGCAGCGACGUCGCGUGAGGGAUGGAGGCCUUCGGGUUGUGAACCUCUUUCGCCGGUGAAGAAGGUCCUGCUCUUUGUGGUGGGGUUGACGGUAGCCGGGUUAUGAAGCGCCGGCUAACUACGUG
rnacentral:rRNA from 1 species